rnacentral:rRNA from 1 species
GUUAGGAAUAUUGGACAAUGGACGCAAGUCUGAUCCAGCCAUGCCGCGUGAGUGAUGAAGGCCUUCGGGUUGUAAAGCUCUUUAGCCGAUGAUUAUAAUGACUGUAGUCGGAAAAUAAGCCCCGGCUAACUUCGUGCCAGCAGCCGCGGUAAUACGAAGGGGGCGAGCGUUAUUCGGAAUCACUGGGCGUAAAGCGUGCGUAGGCGGUUUUGUAAGUUGGGAGUGAAAGCCCAGGGCUCAACCCUGGAAUUGCUCUCAAAACUACAAGACUUGAAUUCGGGAGAGGAUAGCGGAAUUGUCAGUGUAGCAGUGAAAUGCGUAGAUAUUGACAGGAACACCAGUGGCGUAAGCGGCUAUCUGGACCGACAUUGACGCUGAGGCACGAAAGCGUGGGGAUCAAACAGGAUUAGAUACCCUAGUAGUCC